GCGGACGUGGUGCACGGCGCACCACUGCCUUUCUUGGUACCGUCCAGGCAAUGCAAGCAGUCCACCGGGGUUCGACUCCCCGCGUCCGCA